rnacentral:tRNA from 1 species
UGCGGGGUGGAGCAGCCCGGUAGCUCGCUUGGCUCAUAACCAAGAGGUCGCCAGUUCGAAUCUGGCCUCCGCAACCA